rnacentral:lncRNA from 1 species
AAAAAAAAAGCAACAACAACCAAAAAACAAAACCACCACACAUUCACAGACACACAAACGUGAUCCUCACCUACCUCUGGUUGGUGCUAUUGGUCACUCACAUUUUAGUAAGAAUGCAAGCCAAGCUUUUCUUUCUUUUUCUUUUUGAGAUGGAGUCUUGCUCUGUUGUCCAGGCUGGAGUGCAAUGGCAUGAUCUCAGCUCACUACAACCUCUGUUUCCCAGGUUCAAGCGAUUCUCCCACCUCAGCCUCCCGAGUAGCUGGGAUUACAGGCAUGUACCACCAUGCCCUGCUAAUUUUUGUAUUUUUAGUAGAGGAGGGGUUUUGCCAUGUUGGCCAGGCUGGUCUCAAACUCCUGACCUCAGGUGAUCCACCCGCCUCAGCCUCCCAAAGUGCUGGGGUUACAGGCGUGAGCCACCGUACCUGGCCGCUAAGCUUUUCUUAAAA